AUUACAAGGAAACUGUGUGCUCUGGGGCUUCAAGCACUUUUCAGAAUAUCAAUGCACUGACAUAAUUAUUCAACAGAACGAUGCAAACCUCACAUAUCGGUGGUAGGACGUCGCACACUGAAUACAUAUUCAUGGCCAAGAGCACGAAAAUUGACCAAAAAA